rnacentral:lncRNA from 1 species
GGUGAGACUGAGAGCCUCGCGAUUUACCCCCCAGCGUGCUUGUCCGUCUGUCACGGCGGUGUGAUUGUCGGGUGUUUGCAUUUCGACCUUUUACUGAUCUUGCACGCGUGUUGGUCUCGGUGGUGCUCUUGUUGGCGUUGCUAGUGGUGGCGCAGACGGAGCCUACGAACACGGCGGAGAGCCAAGCACCUGAGGACCCGCAGACUUCCCGGUUCACCUGGACGAUAGAGAACUUCACCAGGGUCAGCGGGAAGAAGCACUACUCGGAUGUGUUUGUCGUUGGGGGAUUUAAAUGGUGAGUUUUGGACAACUUGCCAUUUUGAUUCGCCGUGAAAAUGCGUCUAAUGUGGGAGAUGUUGGACGUUGAAGGUACUGAUGGAUGUGCUUGUUUUGGACGUAGGCGUGUGCUAAUUUUCCCCAAGGGAAAUAAUGUGGACCAUCUCUCGAUGUACUUGGAUGUUGCAGACUCGGGGAACCUCCCUUACGGAUGGAGCCGGUAUGCUCAGUUCAGCCUAGCCAUUGUAAACCAGAUCCAUCAGAAGUAUACAGCACGCAAAGGUAUUGCUUUUCUUGGAUUAAUGCUGUAAUCAUAUUUUUUAAGCCAUCCGUCAUGGAAGUUUCAAGGGAAUAUAACCUUGAAGUCUUGAGCUGACGUGGAACAGGAUGAACCCAUUGAUCAGUUAAAAUUCUGUGCAUGUACUGCCGCAUGUUAUCUGUUUGGCUGUGCAACUGAAGCUGUGCACAGUACAUGCCUAGGUUAUCAUGCAAUAAUGAUGCUCGAUAACACACAACCGCCUUUUUUCUUUCUUUUGGUGAGAUGGAGUACAUUCUUGUAGAUCAAGAUAUACAAUAUUCAUAACUGAUGUAUCACAUGCAAAGCAGACAUCUUUCUUGUAAAGUUUGAUAUAAACCUUGUCUAGUCUUUACUUCAAUACUUCAAUGUCUAAGGAUCAUUCAACUUUUAUACCUGGGAGCUGGAUGUUUCUCAGCUGUGCAUCUCUUUUUUGUGGGUUCUUGGUCAGUGGUCAACAUUGUUAAAGUAAUUCAAUUAUUGUGUGGACUCUAGUUUGACAUUGUAUUUCUAUGGUACUGGUGGCGCUGAAAUUGUUAUAUAUAUAUAUAUAUAUAUAUAUAUAUAUAUAUAUAUAUAUGUAUAUAUGUAUGUAUGUAUGUAUAUAUACAGGUAACAGUUUGGGAGUUAAUUUCAUGAAACUUCUUUUAGGUUAUCCGUAAAUCACAAAUCACAACAUCUGCAGUUGAUCGUUUUCUUUCUUUCGAGAAACUUACUGCGAUACUUAUUAUGGAUCGGAGGGAGUAGUUGAUAAUUUUUAUAAUGCACACCAGAUUAUGUUCUAUCACGAGGAAAAAAUCCUUAUAUUUCCACUCAUAUUGUUUUAGUACUUCUCGGUCAGUUAUUGUUGCUUGAAGCCUGAACCUUCAAUUAUUUUUUAUCAUGCAUUUAGUAAUGGUAUAAUGAUUAUUAGUUUUGUUCCAUGUCAUCCACUCGGUUGUGCCCUCAUGCUUUCAAAGACUCUUUUGGCUUGUUAUUUUAUGUGGUAGCUAAUGAAGUUCGGUAGUAGCGGUGCUUCGGUGAUAUUGUGAGUUUUUAAAUAUUUCUGCAAAAUUUCUCUGGUUAAGGCUGUAUGUUGGUCCCAUGUUUGGCAGAUACUCAACAUCAGUUUAAUGCACGUGAGAGUGACUGGGGUUUCACAUCUUUUAUGCCUCUGAGUGAGUUGUAUGACCCAAGUAGGGGCUAUCUCGUGAAUGAUACUGUUGUUGUUGAAGCUGAGGUUGCUGUUCGCAAAAUGGUUGACUAUUGGACUUAUGACUCGAAAAAGGAAACAGGUUAUGUUGGUCUCAAGAAUCAGGGUGCUACCUGUUAUAUGAACUCUCUUCUGCAAACCCUGUAUCAUAUACCUUACUUUCGGAAGGUGUGAGACCUUGCUUUGUCGUACCGCACAUGCUUUGUUGUGAGUUUGAAUUUUGAACUAAUUUUGAAUCAAUUCAUUGGUUUUCUUCUUAGGCUGUGUAUCACAUGCCAACUACUGAGAAUGACAUGCCAUCUGGGAGUAUUCCUUUAGCCCUGCAGAGCCUUUUUUACAAGCUCCAGUAUAGCGACAAUAGUGUAGCUACAAAAGAGUUGACUAAAUCUUUCGGGUGGGACACCUAUGAUUCUUUCAUGCAGCAUGAUGUGCAAGAGCUCAAUAGAGUUCUAUGCGAGAAACUUGAAGACAAAAUGAAGGUGGAUGUUAUACUAACAAUUACCUCUAUGCCAAUUACUUGUCAUUAACUUUGCUUUCUCCCCAGGGAACUGUUGUGGAAGGAACAAUUGAACAACUAUUUGAAGGCCACCACAUUAAUUACAUCGAGUGCAUUAAUGUUGACUAUAAAUCUAACAGAAAAGAGUCCUUUUAUGGUAGGACCUAUAAUUUGAAUUGUGUUUGCAUUUUAUGUGCUAUAUCCAUCUAUUAUUUAAUGGUCACUUAUGCUGGCCUUGCAGAUCUACAACUUGAUGUCAAAGGUUGUCAUGAUGUUUAUGCAUCAUUUGAUAAAUAUGUCGAAGUGGAGCGUCUAGAGGGUGAUAACAAAUACCAGGCUGAACAACAUGGCUUACAGGUUCCUACAAAUCAUGGCUUUGAACCUGAAUCUUAAGUUGCAUUAUCUUUGUUGUUAAAUAUUUUGGAAUAUUGGUGUGGUACAUUGUACAUAUGAAUGGCAGGGUACCUUUGCUUGCUCUAUUAAUGGUUACUUUCUAAUGUUUCUAAUGUUGCCUUGUGAUCAUGAGGUCACGGGUUUGAGUCCUGGAAACACCCUCUUUCAGAAAUGUAGGGAAAGGCUGUGUACAAAAGACCAAAGUGGUCGAACCCUUCCCCGGACCCUGCGCAAGCGGGAGCUACGUGCACCGGGCUGCCCUGUUUUUUUGCUUGCAUUAGUCAAUACACAGAAAUGGUUUACUUGAUAGUAAUUUUGGAUAAAAGAGGUGUUAGUGUUGUAGCUGACGUUGUCUACGGAGGUUGUAGAGUGGGAUACUCGGAGGACGCGCGUGCCGUCACCGUGUAGGCGCCGUGGUACAGUAGAAGGGUAGUGGGGAAAGAUUGGAGAAUUAGAGGGGUAGAAGAGAAGCAUAGGCAGGAACUAGAUAUUUCAUUUCUUGCCUUCUUACAAGGGGGAAAC